rnacentral:rRNA from 1 species
UACCGCAGUACNCCCGUAGGGGAAAGCCGGGGAUCUUCGGACCUGGCGCUAGUAGAUGAGCCCGCGUGAGAUUAGCUUGUUGGUGGGGUAAUGGCCUACCAAGGCAACGAUCUCUAGCUGGUCUGAGAGGACGAUCAGCCACACUGGGACUGAGACACGGCCCAGACUCCUACGGGAGGCAGCAGUGGGGAAUAUUGGACAAUGGGCGAAAGCCUGAUCCAGCAAUGCCGCGUGUGUGAAGAAGGCCUGAGGGUUGUAAAGCACUUUCAAUCGUGAAGAAAAGUCACAGGCUAAUACCCUGUGACCUUGACGUUAACGAUACAAGAAGCACCGGCUAACUCCGUG